rnacentral:rRNA from 1 species
GACGUAGGAUGCAAGCGUUUGUCCGGAUUUAUUGGGCGUAAAGCGUGCGCAGGCGGUUCGUUGUGUCGGCGGUGAAAGCCCCGGGCUUAACCUGGGAAUGGCCGUUGAAACUGGCGAACUGGAGUGUGGCAGAGGGGGUGGAAUUCCGCGUGUAGCAGUGAAAUGCGUAGAGAUGCGGAGGAACACCGAUGGCGAAGGCAGCCCCCUGGGCUGACACUGACGCUCAGGCACGAAAGCGUGGGGAGCAAACAGG